rnacentral:rRNA from 1 species
CAGGGUGUGUAAGCGUUGUGAGGCGUUGAGCUAACCUGUACUAAUAGCCCGUGAGGCUUAACCAUACAACACCGAAGAGGUUU